GAGCCCCAGGAGACCUGACAGCCUGCUACUUCUUCAGCACAGACACAGAAACUGAAAGCGGUCUGUCAAGAAUCUCUCCAACCAUUGGACAAUGUCGAGAAGAAUUUGGUACCUAUGGAUGCCUGGUUAAAGAGCACAGCCUUGCAGCAGUGUGACAACACUGAGGAUGAGGACGCCUGUGUGGAGCUCCAUGUUCUUUGCAUCUCACGAGGCCAAUCAAAUCUGGCAUCUUCCAUGAAUUUUCUGUGACCUCUCUGCAGAUGCCAUCAUCUUGAGUAUUUGUCAAAACGUUCUACAUCUGAAGUCUGGGUGCCGCGGAAGGUGGAGUCCCAGAAGGCCCAACGGCGAGGCUGCCUAGAAACACGGGGACAGAGGGGACCGCUGCUCAGUCAAGAUUCCCAGCACAGCUAGAUUAGAGAGACGUCACGCUUUAACAAGCAGAAAUUUCAACAUCUCCACAAAUUAAGUCAAACUAAUAGACAUUUUUCUUUCACAAAAUAAUAAAAUAGAGAU
rnacentral:lncRNA from 1 species